UACAAUAGUGCGUGUGGGGCGGCGAGUAGCACCCUUCAGGCAGCUCCUCUAGCCUCAACCCAAGCGGGGCCUAUACGACACGGAUGGCCGUUGACUCUGUGGCGGUUUCCGCGCCGAUUCGGUCAAACGUACCGAGCCAUUUCCACAAUCGAAGACAAACACAAACACAUCACCAAAGGCCUACAUAAAAGCCGCACUAGCAUGUGGCGGGGGCUCGGGAUACGAGCAGAGUCUAGAGUCGGCUGCCGGACCAGACAACUCACUUCCUACCAACUUUCUUUCCUUCCCCCUUCUCCGGUCCUGAGGAGAGAAAGAAGCGCAGAAAGACGAAGAGCGCUCUUAAGACACCGGCCCGUCACCGGCCGGCUGCUCAAUGCCCCCUCCCCUUCCUUCCACGCCUGAGUAACAAGGGCGGUCAAGGGGUUUCCCCGACCUCUCGGAGGGGAUUCCCUCCUCCUUCCCCGGCCAGGUGUCAGCCAGCCAUUUGCCGCCGCGCUUUCCUGUUCAAAUCAGCCCGCCAGAGCCCACGAGGACGGGUUGAGGGGGGGAGAGAAAAAGAAGUAAGUGCUGCCUCUUACUCGUAGUCCCUGAAGAUCUCGUUGGUGACCUUGCAGUAAAAGACGUGCUCGUCGGGCCGCAGGUCAGCGGGGGGUUUCUCCCUCACGAAGGGCUUUCGGUGUAACAGUGGCAUCGCCCGGGUCCCGUUUCUAAUUGGAGGGGGAAAGGAGGGCGUUAAGUCAAGGCGAAGAAGAGCCCGGGUUGUGGCGGCAACAGUAGUAAUAGAAGUAGAAGACAGUUCCUUUUGUGUGGACGCCUGAUACGCCGCUUUCUUGCCAGGGACUGAGCGAGCUCUGUGUGUGCGAGAGCGGAUCCCUUCUUUCCUCCCCCAGCUUCUCCCCCUUCUUCCUCCUCCCUCCUCCCCUAGGCCGCCUCACAAUGGGGCCAUGACGCCGAACAGCGAGCGGGCGGGCGGCUGGGCGGCAGCAACGACUCCUCUCCUCCUCCUCCCCCCCUCGUCGCCGCCACACAACGUGCUCGACCGACCUGAGGAUUCCCCUCCCCCAGGUCUCGAAGGCCACGCUUCGACUCCCCUCCUCCGGUCCGCCCACGGGGGGGAGUCACCCUCCGACCUGCGCACGCUGGGCCGCACACCUCUUCCCCCUCCUUCCAAAAUGCCAAACAAACAGGGAAGAGAUGGGAAGGAGGGCAGUUCUUUGAUCACUUAUCAGCUUCUGUCGGGACUCUCUCCUCCUCUUCCCCACACCGCGUCUGCUGUUUAAUGAGAGAUCCCCUCCAGCUGGAAGACUACCUUCUCUUCCUGCUGUCAGGAUGUACACGAGAGUGCCUUUUUCUAGCUUCCCGGAAAAGUCUGUAAAACAGAUCAACCCUCUUAAGACAGACGCUUCUCGGAAGUUUUUGAUCUACUACUUCAGCUCUCAAUGAGGAAGAGCUGUUGGGAGGAGCUUUCGACUUCUUUCCUCUACAUCUUUAUUGGCCGAUCACCGCCUAUCCAGCUUGUGACACACAGGAAGACAGAGAGCUACAUUAUUAAUUAAUAGAUGAGGCGCUCAUCCUCCAUUUUUGAAUUAGCAGCCCAAAAGAUCUGUGGUGUAUGCCGAGGCUCUUAGAGGCCUGCUUGCAUAGGGUUCAUCAUUAACCCAGGUACCCAGGGAGCAGGUUGGCAAAGGCUUAUUGGCUUCCUAGGAAAAUAUAGAUGAAUGCUAAGUAGUACAUGAUGUGUGUAUCCUAAGAAGAAAAUAAAAUAUUUGAUACAGGA